GACGAACGCUGGCGGCGUGCAUACUACAUGCAAGUCGAACGCAGUGGGGACGGGUGAGUAACACGUGGGUAACCUCCCAUCAGAGGGGAUAACACUUGGAAAAAGGUGCUAAACCGAUACUGAUGGUGGGCCCCGCGGUGCAUUAGCUAGUUGGUACGGUAACGGCGCACAAAGGCCACGAUGCAUAGCCGACCGGAGAGGUGUAGCGGCCACACUGGGACUGAGAAACGGCCCAGACUCCUACGGGAGGCAGCAGUUGGGAAUCGUCGGCAAUGGACGAAAGUCUGACCGAGCAACGCCGCGUGAGUGAAGAAGGUGUUCGGAUCGUAAAGCUCGGUUGUUAGAGAAGCUGUAUCUAACCAGAAAGCCACGGCGAACUACGUGCCAGUAGCCGCGGUAAUUC
rnacentral:rRNA from 1 species